GUAUUAUUAUGUCCAACUAAAAACUAGAGUCAUACUCCAUAAAUUUUAAGUCAGAUUCUCCAUAAAUGAAUCACUGAUCCUUAGUAUUUCUCAAAUACUUAAGAAUGACCUUCCAGUGAUUCUCACUCAGAUCUUGCAAGUAUUCACUCACUAUUCUAGUGAAUAUAUCAUAUCCGAUCUCAUACAUGGUGUAAUGAUAGAAUAAAUUCUACUCAUAAACACCCUAUGUAUGUUAGACUGAAAAACUUAAGCAGCCUCUUAGAUCUAUCUCUAUAGAUCUUCAUCCCU
rnacentral:lncRNA from 1 species